UGAAUACGAGACGCUAAGGCGUCGAAGUAGUGUAUGUCAUGCUUCCAAGAAAAGCUUGCACUGUCAUAGAUAAAAAACGCCUGUACCAUAACCGACACAGGUGGGUAGGUAGAGUAUACUAAGGGGCGCGAGAUAACUCUCUAAGGAACUCGGCAAAAUAACUCCGUAACUUCGGGAGAAGGAGUGCCUUAUUCGUAAGGUUGCAAUAACAAGAUCCAAGCAACUGUUUAUCAAAAACACAGGUCUCCGCUAAGUCGUAAGACGAUGUAUGGGGGCUGACGCCUGCCCAGUGCCAGAAGGUUAAAGAAGUCGGUUAGCAAUUGCGAAGCUGGUAACUGAAGCCCUGGUGAACGGCGGCCGUAACAAUAACGGUCCUAAGGUAGCGAAAUUCCUUGUCGGGUAAGUUCCGACCCGCACGAAAGGCGUAAUGGUUUGGAUACUGUCUCGGAGAGGGGCUCGGUGAAAUAGACUUGUCUGUGAAGAUGCGGACUACCUGCACCAGGACAGAAAGACCCUAUGAAGCUUUACUGUAACUUGAAAUUGAAAUUGGACUUUAUUCGCGCAGUAUAGGUGGGAGGCGUUGAUUAUAAUCUUGCGGGAUUAUUGGAGCCAUCAGUGAGAUACCACCCUUGUAAUGUUAGAUUUCUAACUUUGAAUCAUUAUCUGGUCAAAGAACAGUUUCAGGCGGGCAGUUUGACUGGGGCGGUCGCCUCCUAAACGGUGACGGAGGCGUACAAAGGUUUCCUCUGAACGGUUAGAAAUCGUAUCUAGAGUGUAAAGGCAUAAGGAAGCUUGACUGUGAGACCUACAAGUCGAGCAGGGACGAAAGUCGGUCUUAGUGAUCUGACGGUACUGAGUGGAAAGGCCGUCACUCAACGGAUAAAAGUUACUCUAGGAUAACAGGCUGAUCUCCCCCAAGAGUUCACAUCGACGGGGAGGUUUGGCACCUCGAUGUCGGCUCAUCGCAUCCUGGGGCGGUAGUACGUCCCAAGGGUUGGGCUGUUCGCCCAUGAAAGCGGUACGCGAGCUGGGUUCAGAACGUCGUGAGACAGUUCGGUCCAUAUCCGGUGUAGGCGUUAGAAUACUGAGAGGAGCCUUCUUUAGUACGAGAGGACCGAGAAGGACAUACCUCUGGUGUACCAGUUAUCGUGCCAACGGUAAACGCUGGGUAGCUAUGUAUGGAGUGGAUAACCGCUGAAAGCAUCUAAGUGGGAAGCCCACCUCAAGAUAAGUAUUCUCA
rnacentral:rRNA from 1 species